AGGAGAUCCCAGCCUGCCUUAAACAGUCUCCAGCCAGGAUUUAAUGAGGCAUGAAUUUGCAUGGCAUAGUAGAUUUCUUCUAACAGGAUGGGGGAUUGGUGUUACAUAUUAGAAACUGACCCUGAACAUGAUGUUCAAAGUCAUUGAAUGCUCUUGGAAGCAGAAGCAAUGAAUUUAUCUUGAGGACUGAGCAUCCUCAGUUGGAAUCCCUUGGUAUCUCUUUUUUCCCCUUUUCUAAAGAGGAAAACAUCAAAAAAUGGACAUCUACAGCUUCCAACACACACAGGUUGCUGAGGGCUGAAAAUGAGGAACGCUAAGAAGUCAAGAACCAACAUCAUCUAUAUUGUUGAUUUUUAUUAGUUACUGACUGGACCAUCUCCCUUCUCAUGAUUAAACAACUCUCUUAAU